rnacentral:piRNA from 1 species
UUAAUUACUACAAUUAACUCUCAAAUCUUAAA